UCCAGUUGCAGCCUGCCAUGCAUUCGAGUGGUCAUAGCAGGUGACAGCACUACAUCCCGCUGAGAGGGCAGCAGAGUGCAUGAGGAUCUCUUGCCAGAGGGGACUGACUGCCAUCGAACCAGCACAGAUCAUCUUCCCAUCAGCCAAGGCCGACCUUAUGAAAUCUGGUGCCCUGUGCAGCCUGAGUACCUGAGGUUUGUUGAUACCACUAUGGAGUUCUAUCUCAGCCCAAGGAGAGUGGAGGAGGAACUGAGGGGGUCAAGUCUCAUGUGCAUUAGAUGAGGUGCCAACGAUGCUGCAAGAUAAUCACUGCAUGUGCUUGACUCAGACAGACGCCGCUACUGAAAAUCUCUGAUCAAUAGCGCUGGGACACACUGACACCUGACGUGGCGCCUCCACAGGGAAACAUCUCAAAGAAAUUCAGUUACCGCACAGGGUCUCAAAGCACUUUACAAAAGAGGCCAGUAUCAUAAUCCCCAUUUUACUGAUAGGGAAACUGAGGCACAGAGAGGCACCCAAGGUCACCCCGAUGACAGAGCCAAGAAUGGAACCCAGCCCUCCCAAGUAAUGUUUAUUUUCAUUAUUUAAAGUAACUUGGAAUUAUAUUUUAAGCUGUUUGGUACUUUCUGAAAACCUUGUAUUUAUACAAAACAUGUACAGGCCCUUUAAUUUUAAACCGACUGCAUGUAGGACAUGGAUAACACAUGUUAGUGUUUAGCUCGAGGGACAACAGAAAGCGCCAUGGAAACUGGAAGGCCUAGCAUAAGAGUAAAUUAAAGUGAAUGCUGCGUUUUACAUCUGUUAUACUGCAUACGUUAAACUAGGGAAGAUCAGCUACAAGAAGCCUGUCUUGUUAGGGGGCUGAACAAACAUCCACUGAAGAGAGGAAAGACUUCCAUUGACUUCAACCGACACUACAUCAGACUUUAAAUCAUGUUUUCCUCUCUCCCCAUCUUUCUUACAAUCUCCAUGAAAUCCUGACAAAUAACCCAUGGAAUUCAAGUAUAUGGAUUGUUUUUAAGACUCAGUACAUAUGUAGAUACACAUAGGCUGUACACAAGAGAGAUGAUUUAAAGAACUCACUCACUUAAAAGGAAAGGUAAGAUAGACAAGUGAAGGAACAAAUGUACCCUCCACCUACAUGUCAAAAAUUGUUAUGAAUGUAUUUAUUAUAGUUGCAAUAAAUCCCUUUGCUACAUAACACUGUUGAUUUCUUAGCAGCCCUGCUAAAGGCAAUAGCCCAUAUUACUGACAUUUCAGUUUAAAUAAGGAAGCGGUUUUGGAUUUAAGUGCAAAAUACAUCUGAAACCAAUUACUUUUUUUUGGUAUUUUUAUAAUUUAAAUAUGGUCAAAAUGUUUUUCCAUUUCUAAAUUACCAAGUUCCUGCCAAGAGCAAUUUUUUUUUCACUUUAUAGUGGAGUUCUAAAAUCAUAGAAAUUAGGGAUUUUAAGAUGGAAACUCUGACCAGUCCUGGUCUGCAGGAGUACUAGUAGCAACUGCAAUCUCUUUUAUCAUCUUUGUCAUGAUUCUGUGAGAUUUUCUCUUAACUUUAUUUAAUCAGCAUUAUAAUCUCACUUUGAGCUAACACCGGAAUGACACACUUUUCCUCUAGCUCACUGUUUUCACUUUUAAAAGACAGCAAAUAGUAAUAUUUUUACAUAACGAGGACUAGAGAAUAUUGCAUAGAAUUCUGUAGUGUUCAUUAGCCCCUUCUCUGUAGCACCCCCACAUGAAAGUUAUGUGAAAAUUAUUGCAAAAAUCUCUUAUAAAAUGUGAAAGGCAUGCAUCCAAUUUUUAUUUCUAGAGAUAUCUUAUUCUAUUAAAAAAGCUUAUUAUUAAAGGGGUCCUUGAUAGAUGCUAUGGAUGCAGCACACCAAUGCAAGGCUUAAGGAGUGGCUCUACCCACAAAGUCUAUUUAUAAAUGUUGCAUGAGUGCCAGUUACAAUAAAAUGAUCAAAUUCUAUGGCAUCCUGUAUUUAUUUUAUCCCGUUGAUAAAGAAAAUUGCAUUUGAAAAAAGGAACAAUUAUAAUAAACAGGCAUGCUUCAUCCACUUUCCAUUAACACAAUAAUAAAAGAGACCAUUCCAGUUAGUUAAAUCUCAAAAUUGUCCUCCCCUUUUUGCACUAACUACAGAGAGAUAAAAAUGACAAUUUUACCUACAGUAUAAAAAUAGGUAUGUUAAAACAGCCUGUGGCCUAUCCUUCCAUUGCUUUAGACAAAGUCUGAACUGUAAACAGAAACAAGGUUUAAAAAAAAAAAAAGAUGUUAAAGAGAACAUAAAAAUGGAAAAACCUGUAAUGCUAGAGAUAUGUAUGUGCUUUUAUUUCGCAGGAAAGGUAUUGAACAGGGUGUCUUCAGCAAGUGCUUUAUUGUCAGUAUUCUUGACUCUAUAAAAUAACUGUGCAUGGAGAACAGCCCCCACAUGUUGAACAUGUGGUACCUUAUAUACAGCCUUUCACCUUUCAACUAAUGAGUGACUAAAAAGCAUUGAAGAGUCACAGUUCCAACUCUUUUACAUUACUUCUCCAGUAGCUCUUUAUGAAGUAAUGAAUAGGAGUAUAAUACUAAUUUUCCUAAUAACAAUAAUUUCAAUGUACUUCAUUAGCAUAAAAGACAUAUAGCUAAAAAUCAUUCACCACAGAUACAAUUUAACCCUUUUUUUAAACUUGGUAACUAAUAAUUAACAACUCUACAAAUGGGAGAGCAAGGUAUCUGGUAAAGAUUUGUAGUGGGAUUCCUAACAAAGUCUGGGGUCAUCCCAAUGGCAUUCUAACAAACAGUUUUAUGUACAUUCUACCUAUGACAUUAUGCAUUAAAUAAUGAAAGAAACUAAAGCAUUAAUAAAGUGCCAAAAGACAGGGAAUCCCAAGAGCAUCUUAGUUGACUAAUUUUAUAAUAAAUACUGAUGACAGCCCAGGGCAGAAUGGGGUGACUUAUAAAAUUGUGAAUGCUAUUUUCACUCAAAAAAAUUCUAUGCACUGUAAAUAGUACAAUGAAGUUUACAAUUAACUGUUAGUGUUAUAAGAGAAACACAUCUUCUACAGCAGAACUACAAACAGGCUUUAAAAAAACUGAUAUAGCAUUAACAAAAGUAAGGAGAGACUUUUGAGUGUUUGGCUCCUCUAAUGUAAUUAGCAGAAACUUGAAAACUACAAAAAGAAAGAAAAAGGAUACUUUUGAAGGCACUUAAGUAUUGCUUAUCGAGAAGAGAGAUUAACCCUAAAUGCUGCAUUUGGGUUCAUCCUGUAAAUAAAAUUCUACUUCCUGUGACAUCUCUCAGUAAGCAUUAUUGAAUGCAAUAAAGAUGCAUGCUUAUCCAAUAACAGUUCUUGGGAUCAUAAUUAUGCAAGAUAAUAAACAGAACCCCAACAAGCAAGUACAAUUUAACCACUUGACUGCAUCAAGCACCCAGAUCUCAAUGUGGAAUUAAUAGAGGGUAAGCAACACAUGGCAAAUAUACUGUUCUAAAGUAAACAAAGAAAACUGGUAAGUUAGAAUGUAAGAAAACAUCUGGAUCUGUCUAAUUAAAAGUUCUGUCUCUUGGCUGAAUGGAAGAUGUUUAUAUUUUGUUAUUUAUGUUCAGGUACAUGCAUUUGAAUGGGACAUACAGUCAUAAAUGGAGCUGUGUUUUAUAAAUCAAACCAGAACAUUUGCUUGUAAGGAGACACUGUGGUGAACAGAAGAUUUUUAAUGGUAACAUUUUGAUUUGCCAUCUCAUUUGUUGGAAGUUCUCUCAGCCAAACUUUAUGUCCCUAUAAGUAGAAGUUACAGUAAUUCUAGAAGGUGCACUCACAUAUUCCAAACUUUUUCUUCAGCUCACCACAGUAAGGGCCAGUUGCUAUCUUUGUUUAUCAAAUCAGAGCUGUGCACCACAAAUCAAGUCUCUGGUUACUCAAGCAGGUAAUUUGAAACGACUGUAACAGCAAAAACAGUUAAAUAAAUCUCUGCCUUUCAGCCUCCUAGAGCCUUCUUUUCUUAUUCAUGAAAAGGCUAUUUUUUUUAGUGUACUGACUCUUAAUUUGUGAAAAGUUAACUAAGUGCUGUUGUUGCAUGUUGAGACUGUAAAUGAAAUACAUAAUUUCUAAAACAUCAUGCAAGAAAUGUGGGUUCACAUCUUACAGUCAAAGUCCUACUAGUUAAUUAAUACAAGCACACUGAGGUGUAAUAUUGGGAGCAUACCUUUAAAAUCGGAACUCCUUUCCCCACCCCCCCAAAAAUCAAAAAAGUAAUAUUAAUUAAACUUAAGUAAU